AUUGAACGCUGGCGGCAUGCCUUACACAUGCAAGUCGAACGGUAACGGGUCCUUCGGGAUGCCGACGAGUGGCGAACGGGUGAGUAAUAUAUCGGAACGUGCCCAGUAGUGGGGGAUAACUGCUCGAAAGAGCAGCUAAUACCGCAUACGACCUGAGGGUGAAAGGGGGGGAUCGCAAGACCUCUCGCUAUUGGAGCGGCCGAUAUCAGAUUAGCUAGUUGGUGGGGUAAAGGCCUACCAAGGCAACGAUCUGUAGUUGGUCUGAGAGGACGACCAGCCACACUGGGACUGAGACACGGCCCAGACUCCUACGGGAGGCAGCAGUGGGGAAUUUUGGACAAUGGGCGCAAGCCUGAUCCAGCAAUGCCGCGUGCAGGAAGAAGGCCUUCGGGUUGUAAACUGCUUUUGUCAGGGAAGAAAUCUUCUGGGCUAAUACCCCGGGAGGAUGACGGUACCUGAAGAAUAAGCACCGGCUAACUACGUGCCAGCAGCCGCGGUAAUACGUAGGGUGCGAGCGUUAAUCGGAAUUACUGGGCGUAAAGCGUGCGCAGGCGGCUUUGCAAGACAGAUGUGAAAUCCCCGGGCUCAACCUGGGAGCUGCAUUUGUGACUGCAAGGCUAGAGUACGGCAGAGGGGGAUGGAAUUCCGCGUGUAGCAGUGAAAUGCGUAGAUAUGCGGAGGAACACCAAUGGCGAAGGCAAUCCCCUGGGCCUGUACUGACGCUCAUGCACGAAAGCGUGGGGAGCAAACAGGAUUAGAUACCCUGGUAGUCCACGCCCUAAACGAUGUCAACUGGUUGUUGGACGGCUUGCUGUUCAGUAACGAAGCUAACGCGUGAAGUUGACCGCCUGGGGAGUACGGCCGCAAGGUUGAAACUCGAAGGAAUUGACGGGGACCCGCACAAGCGGUGGAUGAUGUGGUUUAAUUCGAUGCAACGCGAAAAACCUUACCUACCCUUGACAUGUCAAGAAUUCUGCAGAGAUGUGGAAGUGCUCGAAAGAGAACUUGAACACAGGUGCUGCAUGGCCGUCGUCAGCUCGUGUCGUGAGAUGUUGGGUUAAGUCCCGCAACGAGCGCAACCCUUGUCAUUAGUUGCUACGCAAGAGCACUCUAAUGAGACUGCCGGUGACAAACCGGAGGAAGGUGGGGAUGACGUCAGGUCCUCAUGGCCCUUAUGGGUAGGGCUACACACGUCAUACAAUGGCCGGUACAGAGGGCUGCCAACCCGCGAGGGGGAGCCAAUCCCAGAAAACCGGUCGUAGUCCGGAUCGUAGUCUGCAACUCGACUGCGUGAAGUCGGAAUCGCUAGUAAUCGCGGAUCAGCUUGCCGCGGUGAAUACGUUCCCGGGUCU
rnacentral:rRNA from 1 species